rnacentral:rRNA from 1 species
CUACGGAGGGUGCAAGCGUUGUUCGGAAUCACUGGGCGUAAAGGGCGCGCAGGCGGUUUGAUUAGUCAGAUGUGAAAGCCCACGGCUUAACCGUGGAAGUGCAUUUGAAACUGUCAGACUUGAGUAUCAGAGGGGAAAGUGGAAUUCCCGGUGUAGAGGUGAAAUUCGUAGAUAUCGGGAGGAAUACCGGUGGCGAAGGCGACUUUCUGGCUGAAUACUGACGCUGAGGCGCGAAAGCGUGGGGAGCAAACAGGAUUAGAUACCCCAGUAGUCC